rnacentral:rRNA from 1 species
AACACAUGCAAGUCGAACGGGCGUAGCAAUACGUCAGUGGCAGACGGGUGAGUAACACGUGGGAACGUACCUCUUGGUUCGGAACAACACAGGGAAACUUGUGCUAAUACCGGAUAAGCCCUUACGGGGAAAGAUUUAUCGCCGAGAGAUCGGCCCGCGUCUGAUUAGCUAGUUGGUAGGGUAAUGGCCUACCAUGGCGACGAUCAGUAGCUGGUCUGAGAGGAUGAUCAGCCACAUUGGGACUGAGACACGGCCCAAACUCCUACGGGAGGCAGCAGUGGGGAAUAUUGGACAAUGGGGGCAACCCUGGUCCAGCCAUGCCGCGUGAGUGAUGAAGGCCCUAGGGUUGUAAAGCUCUUUUGUGCGGGAAGAUAAUGACGGUACCGCAAGAAUAAGCCCCGGCUAACUUCGUGCCAGCAGCCGCGGUAAUAC